rnacentral:lncRNA from 1 species
GAAAACAAGCAUCACGCAUAGAGAACUCAAAUUAAAAAGAUACUAACACCAAAACAACUCACUUUACUACCUAACAUUGCAACUAACACACUAAUCAACGAAAAACAAUAGAGAACUCAAAUUAAAAAGAUACUAACACCAAAACAACUCACUUUACUACCUAACAUUGCAACUAACACACUAAUCAACGAAAAACAAAACAAUGCGAAAAAAAACAUAAACAUACCAUAACAUUUUUACCGAAUUGAUCGACUUAUCAACAAAAACAAGACUAAAAUCUAAUAGAAAUGGUGACCGAUCAAUAUCCACAUGCCAUGCACACGAGUAUUUCCU